UCUGCGCCCUUUGUUUGUUUUGGUGCCAUUUAUCUCAGUGAUCUGCGGGCCCAUGUUUUCGGCCUUAAUUUUUUUUUGAUCCUUUUGUCUGCCGCCUGAUAUUUCUAGCUGCUCUAUCCCCAUUCUUCUUUUCAGUUCCAUUUCGUUUUCUUCUCCCUUGUGAGCUCCGCUCCCUUCCUAGCUCGGCAAGGUGAGGCGAUUUUCAGUUGAUUCAAGCAAAAGGAGUUCGCUGUGACCAAACCAGGGCAAAAUUUGAAGUAUGGGAGGCCUCGAAAAGUUAUUUGCACUUAAGCAGAAUGCUUUUAGGAGGGAUCUUGUUUCCUGUGUCGGCUACAUGCCUUUUCGUGAAGAUGUGAACCAGCAUCCAAGAGUUAUGAAGAUGAUAUGAAGUUUUUGCUAUAUCUUGAAGAAAGAAGCUAGGCCUUUUGCUGUGCAGUCUUUUGGGAGCAAGUUCUAGGUUAUCAGAUCAAGUUCUUUUGUCUUUUGUUUUACUCCUUGUUUAAUAUUGGUUUGUUAUUCUUUUUAAUACAACUUGUAAGGGAUAUUAACCUGUUAAAACUCUAAAUUAUCUUAUCUCAAUGUUC